rnacentral:rRNA from 1 species
AUACGUAGGGGACGAGCGUUGUCCGGAAUUACUGGGCGUAAAGGGCGCGCAGGCGGAUAUUUAAGUCAGCUGUAAAAGGCAUGAGCUCAACUCAUGUAUGCGGUUGAAACUGGGUAUCUAGAGUGCUGGAGAGGUAGGCGGAAUUCCCGGUGUAGCGGUGAAAUGCGUAGAUAUCGGGAAGAACACCAGUGGCGAAGGCGGCUUACUGGCCAGCAACUGACGCUGAGGCGCGAAAGCCAGGGGAGCGAACGGGAUUAGAUACCCCGGUAGUCCCGGCCGUAAACGAUGAAUGCUAGGUGUGGGUGUCGAGAGGCAUCCGUGCCGGAGUUAACGCGAUAAGCAUUCCGCCUGGGGAGUACGAUCGCAAGAUUGAAACUCAAAGGAAUUGGCGGGG